rnacentral:tRNA from 1 species
UGGUUUGUAGCUCAACGGUAGAGCGCUUGAGUGAAAUUCAAGGCGUAGCAAGUUCGACUCUUGCCAAACCAA